rnacentral:rRNA from 1 species
UGACGAGUUUGAUCCUGGCUCAGGAUGAACGCUAGCGGCAGGCUUAACACAUGCAAGUCGAGGGGUAUAGUUCUUCGGAGCUAGAGACCGGCGCACGGGUGCGUAACGCGUAUGCAAUCUACCUUUUACAGGGGAAUAGCCCAGAGAAAUUUGGAUUAAUGCCCCAUAGUGUUAUUGAAUCGCAUGGUUUAAUAACUAAAGUUCCAACGGUAUAAGAUGAGCAUGCGUCCCAUUAGUUAGUUGGUAAGGUAACGGCUUACCAAGACAAUGAUGGGUAGGGGUCCUGAGAGGGCGACCGGCCACACU